ensembl:lncRNA
GUGGAAGACAUCCAUUUUUUCCACAUGAUUUGGACAAUAUGUCAUUCUCUUCCACAGUCUCAACACCUCUUUCACAACUGACUCAUCUACAUGUCCAAAGUGUUUCUUAAGAACUGCCUUCACAUUAUUUUGCAAAAGUGGCUGGGACAACUGAACUAUUUGGUUUGCUGUAUUGUGCAACAUGUAGCAAGUGCUGUGGUCACAGUAUUGGCAAGUGUUUUUUUAAUUAAUUUAUUAUUAUUAUUAUUAUUUUUUUUUUUUUUUGUAAUGUAGACUUCCUAUAAAAUAUUUGUAUAAAAUAUUUUUGUACAAAAAAAUAUUUGCUUAUGGAAUAUUUCACCCUCAUAGAUUAAUAGCCUGCACGUGGGAUCUUCCUUUGCACCAACAGUCGUUGUCCUGACAACGAGUCUCAGCUGAUUACUGAUAAUGGUAAAUCAGUGUCUUUUCCGUAUGGUCUACUGCAGGAUGGAUAUAAAAGUAUAAAAUAGCCUACUUUUUGGUUAGACAAGAUCAUUAAUAUGUGAACUAUCACAAUUAAAGCACAAAGACAUAACAACAUUACACCCCAAGACCGUUCACAAGUGUGAGAGAAGAGAAGAAACAGUUUCUGGAAGAGAAGUUCAUCAGGCGAGUUGGAGCAUUGACUUUGUCGAGUCAUCCAGUUUAGCGAUCUAAUCUUAGCAAUGUUCCUGAGAUGGAAAAAACAGGGGAAGCAUGUACAGACUGAACAGCAGGGGACCAAGCACAGAACCUGGCGGGACACCACAGGACGAAGGAACAGAAUCUGACAUGAAAGAUCCUGAGGACACUGAAAAACUCCUGUCAGAAAGAUAGGAGGUAAACCAAUCCAGAGCAGAUCCAGAAAUGUCCACUAGAGAGUUUAUUCUAUCAAUCAGAGUUCUGUGAUCAACAGUAUCAGAUGCGGCACUGAGAUCCAACAAGACCAGCACAGAACAUUCUCCUGCAUCAGCAGCCAUCAAGAUGUCAUUUGAAACCCUAAGGAGGGCAGUUUCAGUUGAACGUUUUUUACGAAAGCCAGACUGGAAUUUAUCACAGAUACUAUGAGCCUCCAACACAUAAUUUAACUGCAUUGCCACAACCCUUUCUAGGAUUUUAGAAAUAAAAGGCAAUUUCGAAAUAGGCCUAUAGUUGUUAAAAGAUGCUGCAUCAAGAUUACUCUUUUUCAAAAGAGGCUGAACAACAGCAUGUUUAAGACACAGAGGGACCUGUCCCAGUCUAAGAGAUAGAUUUAUAAUUGAAACCAAACAUGGGCCAAUAGAUUUAAUGGAUUUCAUAAACAAAGAUAUAGGCAAAAUAUCGACAGAGCUUUGGGAAGGCUUCAUUGUACCCAAUAACCUAAUUAUGUCCUUCAGGGAAAUGGGGCAAAAGGAGUCCAGUAUUGAGGGUCUUUGUUGAGUAACUAUAAGGUGGUUUACUGAUGGUGUAAUGCCUGGCCUAACAGCUGUGACCUUGUCCACAAAGUAAGACAAAAAAAUAUUGCAAUCAUCUUUAGAAAACACAGGGACAGAAGAUGUAGCAGGAGAAACAAUGUUGUUAAUAGUCUAAAUAGAGUUUUAGGAUUCCUUUUGCUGGCAGAUAUCAGUUUUGAAAAAUAAGAGACUCUAGCAUCCUUGAUCAUCUCAUUAAGAUCAAUCAAGAGCUCUUUAAGAUGCAGACGAUGGUCUUGGAGCUGAGUCGCUUUCCAUAAACGCUCAGUCUUCCGACAUACACGUCUAAAGCUGCGGAUGUGUUAACAGCAGGAAUUAGUCGAGUCUUAAGAGGAGCCAAUCUAUCCAGCAGCAGGAUGCAAUGCUUAUUAAAAGGCUGUACAGACACGUCAAUGUCAUCUGAGAUAAAAACCGAGCUUGAGUCAAAAUCGGCUGAGAAGUUCUCAACAGCAAGCUGGUUAACCAUACGAGAGAAAGACACUCACGUAACAGGCAGAGGAUCCUCGUUAUAAGCAAGAUCAAAGAGAAUGCAUUUAUGAUCACUAAAAAAUACAUCUUCAAUACAAAUAUUACUAGUAUUUAGACCGUGAGAGAGAACUAGAUCUAACGUAUGCCCCUUAUUGGGCGUAGGACCAGUGACGUGUUGGGUAAAGUUGAAAGACUCUGUGACGCUUAGGAGUACUUAAUAUUCAUAUUACUGUUAUUUUACUGAACUAUGUGUUGUUCUCAGGGCAGGAGUACUCAAUAUUCAUAUUACUGUUAUUUUAACUGAUCUAUGCGCUGCUCUUAGGGAAGGAGUACUCAAUAUUCAUAUUACUGUUUUAAGUGUACUACACUCUAAAAACUGCUGGGUUGAAAACAACCCAAUUUGGGUUAUUUUAGCAACCCAGCGCUGGGUCAAAACAGGAACGAACCCAGAGCUGGGUUAUUUUAACCCAACAAGUUGGGUUAUUAUGUUUAACCCAGCAUGCUGUGUUGCUUUUUUAUGGUUUAAAAUUACUGCAUUGCUAGGCUAAAAUGAACCCUAAUCGAGCUAGGCAUUAAACCUACAAAUCUAGUUCAUUUUAAAAUCACUUUUACACACAAAUAAUAACUAUAAAAAGGUAAAUAUUUAUUAAAAACGAGAAAACAGUCAAAAAGUAACAUGCAUGUAAGAAGAAAUGCAGAAAC